GGAGCUAUAGCUCAGCUGGUAGAGUACCUGCCUCACAUGCAUGAGGUCCUGGGUUCAAUCCCCAGCACCACCA
rnacentral:tRNA from 1 species